GAUGAACGCUGGCGGCGUGCCUAAUACAUGCAAGUCGAGCGAACAGACGCGGCGCUUGCUCCUCUGACGUUAGCGGCGGACGGGUGAGUAACACGUGGCUAACCUCCCUAUAAUACUGGGAUAACUUCGGGAAACCGGCGCUAAUACCGGACAAUAUAUUGAACCGCAUGGUUCAAUCGUGAACGACGGUUUUGCUGUCACUUCUAGAUGGAUCCGCGCCGCAUUAGCUGGUUGGUAAGGUAACGGCUUACCAAGGCGACGAUGCGUAGCCGACGUGAGAGGGUGAUCGGCCACACGGGAACUGAGACGCGGUCCAGACGCCUGCGGGAGGCAGCAGAAGGGAAUCUGCCGCAAUGGGCGGAAGCCUGACGGAGCAACGCCGCGUGAGUGAUGAAGGUCCUCGGAUCGUAAAACUCUGUUAUGAGGGAAGAACAAAUGUGUAAGUAACUAUGCACGUCUUGACGGUACCUAAACAGAAAGCCACGGCUAACUACGUG
rnacentral:rRNA from 1 species